AAUUGGAGGGCAAGUCUGGUGCCAGCAGCCGCGGUAAUUCCAGCUCCAAUAGCGUAUAUUAAAGUUGUUGCAGUUAAAAAGCUCGUAGUUGAAUUUCGGGAUCAAUAUUUCGGUCAUGCCGUUGGUAUGCACUGUUAUCAUUGAUUUCUCACCUUCUAAAGAACCGUAAUGCCAUUAAUUUGGUGUUACGGGGAAUUAGGACUGUUACCUUGAAAAAAUUAGAGUGUUUAAAGCAGGCUCACGCUUGAAUACAUUAGCAUGGAAUAAUGAAAUAGGACAUCCGAUUCUAUUUUGUUGGUUUCUAGGAUCGAUGUAAUGAUUAAUAGGGAUAGUUGGGGGCAUUAGUAUUCAAUUGUCAGAGGUGAAAUUCUUGGAUUUAUUGAAGACUAACUGCUGCGAAAGCAUUUGCCAAGGAUGUUUUCAUUAAUCAAGAACGAAAGUUAGGGGAUCGAAGACGAUCAGAUACCGUCGUAGUCUUAACCAUAAACUAUGCCGACUAGGGAUCGGAUGAUGUUAAUUUUUUAAUGACUCAUUCGGCGCCUUACGGGAAACCAAAGUGU
rnacentral:rRNA from 1 species